UCUCUCUCUGCAUCUUUUGAUUUGUUGGUCGUGUUUUAAUGGCCUUUCUUUUUUUAAUUCCUAUUGUUGGGAGAUGAUACUCUAUCUGGUUGGAUGAUCUUUGGGUUAUCAAUCUUCAGAACCCCUUAUCCAUCAUGUACUUUGGGUUUGUUUGAGUAAUGGAAUCUGGUAAUUACCCCUGUUUUGCUUUUUUUUUUUUAAAGUUGCUUAGAGAACUAAUGUCAAGUGAAUAUAAGAUAUAGGAAUUUGUUCAGCAAAUGCAUAUGUUGAUCUGUUCAUUUGCAUGCACAUUAUAAACAACUUGGAAGAAAGAAAAUGGACAUGCAUUUCACAUGGGACUACUUUGAGGUCAAGUGCAGAGUUACUUGCAAUUAAAUGGCAUUAAGAAUAGGUUUUGUCUUUCAUAUGUGACAUGUGGCUUGAUAAUUGCAUGGAUGACAACUAACAAUUGGGAGAAGCAAUAGGCAUACAACCAAUUUAGUUCAUGCACAAUUAAUGGUUAGGUGACUAAAAUCCAAUGAGAAGGGAAAAUAUAUGGAUGUGCUAGAAUGGAGCAUGAAAAAACUUGAAGAAUGAACCAAUAGCUUAGCUGCUAGUUAUGGUCAAAACAAAUACUUGGUUCAUAGAAAACAAGUAAAAGGAGAGGAUGCUUAAGAACAUCCUCCAACAUACUGGUACUGGGCCCAUUAAUUCGUUAACUAAGACCUGACUUUUAGAUAGCCCAAAAUAAUUUAAUUACCACCUUCGACAAUGCUUGUAAGUGGGCCACUCAGCCAGCCAAAGUAAUUGAUCUCCAUUGGUCCUAGUUCUGGGAAAAUAUGGGGAAUGGUUAUUUCUUUUAGCAAUCACAGACUCAAAGUAGCCGUAGAAGUAAUUGUAGAGUUCCUUAGCUUAAACCUCAAGAGUGAGUUAGUGUUAAUACAACCUUAGCUUAAACCUCAAGAGUGAGUUAGUGUUAAUACAAUAUUGACUAGAUGGGUAUAGAAAACAUCGAUGUAGUUAGGUUCUACAUCUGGAUGAUGAAACCUGUAAUUUUGGUCAUUUGGUUAACCACUAAUUUACUAGUUUAGGAAUGAGGUUGCAUGGAAAUGUGAUCCAUAUUUUCUCUUAGUAUUUCUCCAGGUUUCUUUGGCAAUUGGAAAGUAAUUCACAUAUUUAUCUUCAUCACAAACAUGACAAGCUAAAGGAAUAAGCUGCAAAAGAGUAGGAUCAAUAGGAAGUGACAUCUUAGAACUUUCUAGAGGAGCUCAGGAGCCCAAAUUUGAGGGUGAUAAAUUUCUUGAUUUUCAUCCAAAGGUCAUAUUAUUUGUGUGUAAUGUCUUUAGUGAGCAGGCUGCAAGCAUAUUUCUUGUGAAAAAUCGUCCAUUCUCUGCAAGGCCCCCAACCAUGGCACCUUCACAAAGAAAAGAUAGGAAUUGGAGUGUACCAUCUAUUUGAUGUUGAAAGUAUUCAUCACUUCUUAUCACCAAUUCUCUGUAACCUUUAUAGCUAACUGCAAUCUCAUAAAUUUCAUUUGACAAUUCCUUCUGUAUUGUUUGCUGGUCUGAUGAUGUCCUUAACCAAAUUAGAGUAUGCCUUCUGCUCAUGUAUUUUCAUCAGAGUUAUUGUCCAUAUAUUUGUUAGUGAAAAUUGAUAACAUCAAAUUACUUAAAGUAGGACAUUGCCCAUUUAAGCAAGUUCCUUUAUUCCUAGCCCACAACAUUACUAGGGUUAGUACAUGUGAUGGAAUCCCAAUUAAUGAGCAAACACCUUUGCUGUCUAAGCAGCACUACUCCAUGAAAGGUCCUCAUUUAAUAAGAGUUCCAUAUUCUAUGUGUUUAUAUUAAAAAAUCUGUUUUCAGAUAACUAGAUAAGAAGUUGGUGCUGAUUCGGCUAUACUGACAAUUGACCAAGUUAUUUUCCAUAUGCAAUAUGAGUGUCUAAACACAUCCUUUUAUUUUAAAGUUUCACCUGAAAGUUUAAGACCAGUUAAUGACAUUCACUAACAUUAUUAAUGGGAACCCCUCAAAGCUUCCAAGAAGGGGUUUGGACUUUAAUCCUCCUCUUUAUUUUCUUUUGUUCAGAGGAGGGGGAUGUCACAUGGUAAGGAACUUCAAAUAUAUAUAGAAAAACCCAGCCUAAAUAAUGAUUAUUGAAGGCAAUGCUUUAUGCCCUUAAAAGGCAAGGUUCUUUGGAACUUCAUAGAUGUCUACUAGUUCCUCACUAUUGGCUCCCCACCCCAAUCAUUUCUCUGAACAUAGUGCAUGUCGACUCAGUCACUUCCUUGAUUGGGAGCAUUACCUUCGAUUUUUGUUUUGUUCAUCAUCAGGUAUCUUGAUAGGUGUCAAGAGAAUUUCUAUAUUGAUGUCUAAUGCAGGUUGAAUAUUCUAGAUGGGGUUCCCAUUGAUCAGUUGGAUGUCACAUAUCUAUGACCCACUACUGAUCUAAAUGCUACUUCUAUCAACAACGUUCACACCUUAGAAUAUAGAGAGAAGAAAAUGCCAAUUAGCGUUAUUACAAGCCUGCUACAUUUUCCAGUUUGAGAACAAUUUUUGGUUGUUGGACCUCAUCAAGUGCAAUGAUGAUUUAGCAAGGAAAUGGACUUUCAUAUUAGGAUGCCUCCUUUUGAUGAGUGACCUUAUGGUGUAGAUAUCCUCACCUAUCCCUAGGAUAAUAACCAAAUGGCUCACUUGUCUUUUCUAUGUUGCCAUCUUUGACAGUUCAAUCAAUGUAGGGCUAUUGGAGAUGGUUGAACUAGAAUUUGGGGAUAAGUUAGUCUUGGGUGGAGUUAAGCUAGGAGGGAGAUAUUUGGAAAAGAUUGAUACUGCCCCUUGGUCAUUUUCAUUUAUCUCGUCCUUAUCUCCUUUCUUUGAUGCAUAACCACACCAACCUUUUGAUUUUUUGAACCAGUCUCCUCUAAACUCCACUUGACGGUUUUGCUACUCCUCUGUGAUUCCUUGAGCUCUAUAUAAACUACCCCUAUCUCUAUUUUUCCUUGCCUUUUUGUCACUUUCCAUUGGUGAAGCUCUGCUCAAGAGUUGAUGGUCAUCAUGUUCCCCCAUCUUCUUGAGAGGCCAUAUAGUCAUAAGGUACAUUUUGGAGGUAAGAGAAGCCAAUUGACAGCCAUUGAAGAUGAGAGGGGGUCAAAGCUGGCUGGUAUUGAUGCCGGGGAUUGAGAUUGUAGCUAUGCACCACAAGGUAAGUGACUCUGAUCAGCAAUGAUGAUUGAACACUUAUGCACGAGCAGUUGCUAAUCUCCAUUUAUGAUCCAUUCGAGAUCUCCGUGCAACAUGACUAUGGCAUCCGUCGCACCUGUAGGCUGUGUUUCUACAAUAAAGCUGCAAGGAAGCCAUGUGCGCUGAUCCAGCUCGGUGAUGCCCUGAUCUGCCACCUCUGCAAGGUUGGAGCUUCGGUCUCCCAAAACCCUGUAUUGUCACUCCCUCAUCAGUGCAGAUUCCAUCCUGUGUUGCUGGCGACUACUGACUAGCUGAUCCAGUACCUUGAUGCCCUGAUCUGGCCCUUUGUGCUUGAGAGUUUUGGGCUUCUCACCUGCCUCGAUCCCUCUCUUCCUCGGACCCUCUCUUCCUCUCACCUGUGGCUUCAAAGCAGUGAGAGUGCGUUCUAAUGGUUUCAGAAGUCCCAAGCCCAACACACAUACAAUAUAUUAGUUGAUGGUUAUUGCAAGGGAGGACUAAUGAGAGUCUGAAUCUCUUUAAUGCAAUGCCUUGUAAAGGAGUGCAGUGGAUAACUAUUACAUACAACAUGAUACUAGCUGGAAUGUAUAAUGUUGGUAGGGUUACUGAUGCAGAAAAUUUGUGUUA